GAAGGUUUGGUUGAGGCCCAUUGGAUGGCACAGAAGUUUGCUGGGUUUCCUGGCCAGUGCUGGUCUAUGAUCACUGGGGAAGCAGGAAAGGUCCUGCCAAGGUACAGGUAGACUGAAGCUGGGAAGCACUCCCACUGGGAUAGCUUUGAAAUUCACUGGGGGUUCUGCUCUUUGGGAGUUGCUGAAACUCAACGGGAAGCCAUCCAUGAGAGUGUGGCUGGAUGUCCCUUGCAUGUGCAAGGUAGUCAUGAGGCAGGAGCAAUACAGAAAUGAGCCAAAACCGGGAAGAGAAGCUGCUUCCUCUUGCAGGGUCCCUCUAGCACUCUCUAUUGGCAAACUUCACAUCAUGUCAACUGUGCAGGAGUAAUGCUUCCAAGGCUCAUCUCCAUUAGAGCAGAGUAGGCAAUGAAAUGUGACUUUGGAACAGAGGCAAUACACCGGUAACUGGCUGCUAUGGACUAGAUAUUUGUGUCUCCCCCCAAAUUCGUAUUUUGAGACUUACCCCUGCCUACCUCUCCUCCCUUUCCCCCUCACAAUGUGAUGAUGUUAGGAAGUAGGGCCUUUGGGAGAUAAUUAGGAUGAGAUGAGGUCAUCAGAGAGUAGGGCUUGCACAAUUAGUGCCCUUAGAGUCAUGAAAGAGCUUGCUUUUCUGUUCUGCUUGCUGGAGAUGUGAGGAUAAAAGCAUUCUGAGUGCAGAAGUCAAGGUUCUGCCCUCAAAAGUGGGCUCUCACCAAAACCUGAGCAUACUGGCACCCCAAUCUCAGACUUCCAACCUCCACAACUGUGAGAAAUGCAUUGCUGUUGUUUAUAAGCCAGUCAGUUCGUGCUGGUUUGAUACAGCAGCCCAAACUAUGACACUAGCAAUCCAUUAAGUGCGUGCAGAGUAGUGAAGACCAAGGACCGAUCGCUCUAAAACUGAGAGGUUGAGAAGAAGAGGAACUCAACCAGGGACACUGAGAAGGAACAACCGACAAGGCACUCAGCAUGAGGUACAUUCCUUGAGGCGCCUUCCAGAGUCCCAGGGGGUGCACCCCAGUGGCCCCACAUGAUCCAGCUUGAUAAAGCACCGUGUACUGGCUUUCUUUUCUGCUUGGUUCUCUCUUCCCAAGCCCCCAGACCUCCAUCCCUGUUCCCUAGGAACCACUUCCCAAAAUAAAUGAAUGCCUAUGAUCCCUCAUCUUAGCUUUGUUUUUUGGGGGGAACUCAAACUAUCUUUAACUCUGCCACUGCCUUUGCCAAAUUAAAAGUAUGAUAAUUA